GGGCUGCAUUAGACCCUCUCUUUCCUACUUGUAUAUAAGUCAACCUUUCUGUCUGUAUUACAGGGACGACACCAUCGUAGAGGCGUGGUAGCGGUGAAGAUCGCCAACAUCAGCCGAGAUGAAGAGUCAGUCUGCAGGGAGCUGAAGUUUCUCCAGCAGUUCGGAGGCCACAAGAACAUCGCCUCUUACUAUGGAGCCUACUACAGGGCUCCACUCACGGAGUGCUCAUCGGAGCUCUUGGAAGUAAGAAAUGAUUUACUGUAUCGUGUUCAUUCCUCUUGUGCCAAAACAAUCUCCACUGGAAGUGACAGAAUACAUGACCUGAAAUAAUUUCUAUAUAUUGCAGAUUGUUCUUGAAUACUGUGGUGGAGGCUCUCUGUACAACCUCAUCAGUAAGACCAAUGGCCAAUCCCUGAAGGAGACCUGGAUUGGCUAUGUCUGCAAGGAGGUUUUAAAGGUAAGGCCAGAUUUACCCCUUAAGGACUCUUCUUUAAUUGCAU